rnacentral:rRNA from 1 species
UGAACGCUAGCGGCAGGCUUAANACAUGCAAGUCAGGGGCAGCGAGAGAGUAGCAAUACUUUUGUCGGCGACCGGCGGACGGGUGCGUAACGCGUAUGCAACCUACCUUAUACAGGGGGGAUAAACCUUUCGAAAAGGGAGACUAAUACCGCAUAACAUUACUUUGAGGCAUCUUGAGGUAAUUAAAUCUUCGGAGGUAUAAGAUGGGCAUGCGUAGCAUUUAGCUAGAUGGUGCGGUAACGGCGUACCAUGGCGACGAUGCUUAGGGGUUCUGAGAGGAAGGUCCCCCACACUGGAACUGAGACACGGUCCAGACUCCUACGGGAGGCAGCAGUGAGGAAUAUUGGUCAAUGGUCUGACGACUGAACCAGCCAUGCCGCGUGAAGGUCACGGCCCUAUGGGUCUUAAACUUCUUUUGUAAGGGAGCAAUAAGUCUCACGUGUGGGAUGAUGAGAGUACCUUACGAAUAAGCAUCGGCUAACUCCGUG